GAUGAACGCUAGCGGCAGGCUUAACACAUGCAAGUCGAGGGGUAACGAUGGUGCUUGCACCAGGCGACGACCGGCAAACGGGUGCGUAACACGUAUAUAACAUGCCCUACACAGGAGGAUAGCCCUUGGAAACGAGGAAUAAUACUCCAUGGUAUCAAGAUAUGGCAUCAUAUUUUGAUUAAAGAUUUAUUGGUGUAGGAUUGGUAUGCGCAUGAUUAGUUAGUUGGUGAGGUAACGGCUCACCAAGGCGACGAUCAUUAGGGGUCCUGAGAGGGAGAACCCCCACACUGGUACUGAGACACGGACCAGACUCCUACGGGAGGCAGCAGUGGGGAAUCUUAGACAAUGGGGGCAACCUGAUCUAGCCAUGCCGCGUGAGUGACGAAGGCCCGGGUCGUAAAGCUCUUUUCGCCAGGGAUGAUAAUGAC
rnacentral:rRNA from 1 species